AGGUAAGCUACUAAGAGCGAAUGGUGGAUGCCUUGACUGGUAAAGGCGAUGAAGGACGUACUAGACUGCGAUAAGCUACGGGGAGCUGUCAAGAAGCUUUGAUCCGUAGAUUUCCGAAUGGGGCAACCCAAUGUAUAGAGAUAUACAUUACCUAUAUAGGAGCGAACGAGGGGAAUUGAAACAUCUUAGUACCCUCAGGAAAAGAAAUCAAUAGAGAUUGCGUCAGUAGCGGCGAGCGAAAGCGCAAGAGGGCAAACCCAGUGCUUGCACUGGGGGUUGUAGGACUGCAAUGUGCAAGAGGUAAGUUUAGCAGAACAUUCUGGAAAGUAUAACCAUAGAGGGUGAUAGUCCCGUAUGCGAAAAACAAACCUUAGCUAGCAGUAUCCUGAGUAGGGCGGGACACGAGGAAUCCUGUCUGAAUCCGGGUCGACCACGAUCCAACCCUAAAUACUAAUACCAGAUCGAUAGUGCACAAGUACCGUGAGGGAAAGGUGAAAAGAACUGAGGUGAUCAGAGUGAAAUAGAACCUGAAACCAUUUGCUUACAAUCAUUCAGAGCCCUAUGUAGCAAUACAGGGUGAUGGACUGCCUUUUGCAUAAUGAGCCUGCGAGUUGUGGUGUCUGGCAAGGUUAAGCAAACGCGAAGCCGUAGCGAAAGCGAGUCUGAAUAGGGCGCUUAGUCAGAUGCUGCAGACCCGAAACGAAGUGAUCUAUCCAUGAGCAAGUUGAAGCUAGUGUAAGAACUAGUGGAGGACUGAACCCAUAGGCGUUGAAAAGCCCCGGGAUGACUUGUGGAUAGGGGUGAAAGGCCAAUCAAACUUCGUGAUAGCUGGUUCUCUCCGAAAUAUAUUUAGGUAUAGCGUUGUGUCGUAAUAUAAGGGGGUAGAGCACUGAAUGGGCUAGGGCAUACACCAAUGUACCAAACCCUAUCAAACUCCGAAUACCUUAUAUGUAAUCACAGCAGUCAGGCGGCGAGUGAUAAAAUCCGUCGUCAAGAGGGAAACAACCCAGACUACCAGCUAAGGUCCCUAAAUCUUACUUAAGUGGAAAACGAUGUGAAGUUACUUAAACAACCAGGAGGUUGGCUUAGAAGCAGCCAUCCUUUAAAGAAAGCGUAAUAGCUCACUGGUCUAGUGAUUUUGCGCGGAAAAUAUAACGGGGCUAAAGUAAGUACCGAAGCUGUAGACUUAGUUUACUAAGUGGUAGGAGAGCGUUCUAUUUGCGUCGAAGGUAUACCGGUAAGGAGUGCUGGAGCGAAUAGAAGUGAGCAUGCAGGCAUGAGUAGCGAUAAUUAAUGUGAGAAUCAUUAACGCCGUAAACCCAAGGUUUCCUACGCGAUGCUCGUCAUCGUAGGGUUAGUCGGGUCCUAAGUCGAGUCCGAAAGGGGUAGACGAUGGCAAAUUGGUUAAUAUUCCAAUACCAACAUUAGUGUGCGAUGGAAGGACGCUUAGGGCUAAGGGGGCUAGCGGAUGGAAGUGCUAGUCUAAGGUCGUAGGAGGUUAUACAGGCAAAUCCGUAUAACAAUACUCCGAGAACUGAAAGGCUUUUUGAAGU
rnacentral:rRNA from 1 species